GUACGGGGGGGGCAAGCGUUGUUCGGAAUUACUGGGCGUAAAGGGCUCGUAGGCGGCCAACUAAGUCGGAUGUGAAAUCCCCAGGCUUAACCUGGGAACUGCAUCCGAUACUGGAUGGCUUGAAUCCGGGAGAGGGAUGCAGAAUUCCAGGUGUAGCGGUGAAAUGCGUAGAUAUCUGGAGGAAUACCGGUGGCGAAGGCGGCAUCCUGGACCGGCAUUGACGCUGAUGAGCGAAAGCUAGGGGAGCAAACGGG
rnacentral:rRNA from 1 species